UACAGAGGGCCCAAGCGUUGUUCGGAUUCACUGGGCGUAAAGGGUGCGUAGGCGGUCGGGCAAGUCUGAUGUGAAAUCUCACAGCUUAACUGUGAAACUGCAUUGGAUACUGUCCGGCUAGAGGACCGGAGAGGAUAGUGGAAUUCCCAGUGUAGUGGUGAAAUACGUAGAGAUUGGGAAGAACACCAGUGGCGAAGGCGGCUAUCUGGACGGUUUCUGACACUAAGACUCGAAAGCGUGGGGAGCAAACAGG
rnacentral:rRNA from 1 species